GCAAAUUUUGAUACAAAUUGCGGCGGUUACGAACCUCCGCUGCUUUAUAUAUAAAAAAAGCGCCUAUUCUUGAAUAGAAAGAGCGCUUAUAUAUCACAAAUUUUCCCUCAAAAUAUUUCGUUUUCCUCAUUUUUUUUUCUCCCAAGCAAAAGCGAGCCCUAAGAAGACACUCUCUCCCUCACUCUCCGAAGCAUCAAUUGGAUUCUCUAGGUAUUGAUUUUUUCCUUUUCUCCAUUGGAUUAGGGUUUGAUUUUUGAGGAAUUGAUCGAUUUAUCAACUGAGUUUAUCAUAUUGUGUUUCUCUCAAUAUAUCGAAGAUUCAAAGAAAUUGAUUUCAUCUUACUUGAAAGGUCCGAAGAAUUCUCUAAUCGGCUCGUUGCCCUGCGUCUUGGCACCAUGUAGAAGCUUCAGCUCUUCAUUCGGGGUAUACUUCACUUCAAGUGAAUCUGUUAGGACAAUGUGGUGUUUGGAGUACAAGCUUCUUUCGGACUCUCUGUAGCUUACUGUUUCAUAGGCAAAGACUUCAAAGAAAGAUAAAAAAAAAAAGGCAAAUACUUCAGCUUUUGGGUGUUUCUUGAUUGCUUAUUGCUGCGCAAGUACCGGAGCCAAGAAUUGAUUUUAUUCCCCUGGUAAUGUAUGUAAGUUUGCGUAUGAAUCUAAUAUAAUCUAUUGAUUAUCAGGAAGUAUUAGGAAAUCUAGCCUCCACAUGUUAAGGAUUUUUGUUACAUUAUAGCCAAUACAUAUACGAAGAAAGAUGUCGUGAAGUUGGAGGCUAGUGUGCUACAAUCCCUCAAAUUGGAAAUGGGUAAUCCCACAACCCAAACAUUUCUUAGGUAGGUCACUGUUUUGCGAUUAACUAGACGAGGAACAAUUAAGGUUCCUCGACUUAUAUGAAUGAUCAUUUUUCCUUGGUAUCCAGAUGACGUAUAUGUUAAAAAAGUGAACUUUAUCAAAAAGAAGGUCACAAAGCGAAGAGGGAACUAACUUAUUUUGUUGUUUCCUAUUAUUUGUAAUUCUAUAUCUUCAUUGUUUGUUCUGUUUAGAGUUCAACAUUUUGUUAUCACUGUUCUUUUUUCAGGUCUUUUCAUCUUUUAUUCCCACAACUUAACUGGACUAGUGCAAGUCUUGAAUGCUAGUACUAUUGUGUAUCUUUCUAUCAAUUCUCAAAAAGUUUUCCGAACUGUUAGAUGACCGAACCAAGUACUCCAUGUUUAUUUUACACUAUCAUUGGACUCUACAAAACUAAAUCCAUUUACUGUAGAAACUUAACAGUGUUGAGACCACAAUUUGGAGAGAAUUUUCUUUUAUCUAUUCCGCCAGUUCAAUCAUAUGUUUGCAUUUGUGGAUGACCAUCUAUUGGAAUGUUGCAGUUUCUACACUUUCUCCUGGAUGCCUCAGGUGAAGGAAAUCAUUGUCGUAUGUGACCCUUCUUAUAAAGACAUUUUUAAAUGCAUGGACUUCAAAUUUCUUAUAGUGUGUGUGUCUGCAUUCUGCAGCCAAGAGAAAUAUGGCCAACAAAGCAAUGAACAUGCGUUUACCUUUCUUAUUCAGAUUGCAAUAUCUCUAGGAAUUUGUGCAGACACUAAGGUAAUUAUAUGAGAAUUCUUCAUUCAUUUUAUAGAUGCCAAAGAGAACAACCAAGUCGACUUAAAAUUUGCAUUGCCUGGGAAGAAAAGACAAGAUUCUGUAUACAGCCUACUUCAGGUGCAUGGUAUGACAUAGUUUUUGACUCACAAUAGCUUCUGCCUUAUUACACUAUGUCUAGUGGUUAAGUUGUCUCCUUGGAAGCCCCAGUUAUAUCACAUUCCCCUUCUAUUAUAGACCAGUAUAUUACAUCUGACACUCUUCCUAAGAUGUGCUCUAAUUUAUGCUAUUGUUGCAUGUUCCAUGUUUUGUAAUUUUGGCCUAAAAACUGUGCAUCUUUUUUAGAUAAUUCAUUGCUUGAUAUUGCAAGUGUAUAGUACUGUGUACCUAACUGUUCCAGAAUCUAACAUUGUGUAGAAUACACUUGCAAUUAUGGACCAGAUGCAUCUUCUUUAUAUGAAAGUACGAACAGUUAGCCAUAUCCAAGCCUUCUGGAAAAUAAAAAAAAGGUUUCUUGUGUGGCAUGCAGUAGCUUUCCUUGGUGAAGAUGACUUACUAGGGUAGCUUUUGAUAAACAAUUAAGAUUUUGUUGAGGUUUCUGAGGAGAUGUACCCUCAAGGUGAAAGGUACAGAACUGUUGGUGCACCUCUAUUACCACAAUUGUAGCAUGUUGGUCAAGAUAUCUCCUGCAUUGGUGGCUAUCAGAGAUGGUGUCCUCGUCGUUAUUCUGAAGCAGUGAUCAAAUCUGAAGAUGCAACCUUUUCCCUCGUAUGCCCAAUGUCUACUUGUUAAAGUGGCUAGAGAUCAAAGGCACAGUUUGGAGAAACAAGUAAAGUGCCAGAAGGAGGUUCGUUACGAAUAUAGAAAAAUAGCGAUUUGAAUUUAACAUUGUAUAUAUAGAGAAGAUGUAUUAGAAAUUUCUCAUUCUUAUCCUAUUUAGGCACAAAGGUAUACUUAAAA